AUCAAGGGAUGACACGACCUCCUCGCCAGAUGCUCUCAGUUCGGAUCCCUUCAAGAGCUGGCAGCAAAGGCGGAAAUGGAGGGCAUGUGUUGGAAAGAGGUGGUCUGGCUGGAUCACAUCUCUACCAGGAAGGCUGCUGUGGCUAGAAGCAUCAGAGUGGCUAAGGAAAUCUGCAGUUUUAUGGAAGAAAGUGGGAUUGUAGCUUCUCAGCUUAAGCCCUGUAAUCCCGGAGCAAGCCUCGUCACCAGCAUCGUCACGGAGAGGACACAGAACGCGCAGCAUAGGGAGGACACCUCUGUCCUCCCGCACAGCCACCUGCCCCUCUCCAGGUGCCUGGCAUUCUGGACUUCAGGCCCGUGGGCGCCAGUGUGGGCGCUGCCUCAGGGCAGGGGGCAGCCUGUCGGUGGGCAGCUGCUGGCAGCACGCCCACGGUCACCAGCCCACACGGGGGUGGCAGCAGGUGCCCAGGCAGCUCAGUCCAUGCCCAGGCGCCACGGGUGGAGGCUGAGGGUGGGGGGCUCUAAAGAGCCACCUUUCUGGUCCUUUUAUGAGCGGCACCUGCAGGGCGCACCCGGGCCCUGCGCUAAGGAAGCUGGCCGAGCUCAGGGAGGGCUGGGGCGGUGGGGGCCCGACGGCUUCUCCCCUGGCUCCCGGCUGCUCACCCACGAGGGCAGCAGUGGCCCGAGGUGGCCCUGGAAGCAGACACAGGGCGUGUGGCGGACUCGUCCGGGGUCGGCUGAGCCUGCCGGCACCUGUGCGUGAGGCACGGGGUCUCUCUGAAGUCCUCCCCCAGGGCUGAUUUAGGAAUCGGGGACUCUGGAGAGCCCCAGUCUUCCCACCUAGGCGCCCCGGGCAUCUGAAGCUGGGCUCAGCGUCGACCUUGGGCAUGCUCACAUCCUCUGGACCAGACGUGAAACCUGGGGGCCUGCAGCCUACAAGGGCCCUUCCAUCCCCUCACGGCCCCGCUGUCGUCCCUGGGGCUGUGGCUUCUGGGACGAGGUCUCGGGAGGCCGGCCCCAGGCUAACCGGGGCCCCGAGACCGCAGGCGUGUGCUCAGAAAGCUAGCUCCCAGGUGGUGCCAGCCGACCCUUCCAUUUUGGAAGCAGGCUGCCCGUGGCCCAGCCGCAAAGAGGCCUCUGUCCACCCAUGGGUCUUCAGCAGGAGGCUGGCCAUGCAGCUCAGGUGGGCAGGACACUGUGAAAGUCCUUCUCCUUCCUCACUGCAGUCUUUGGGGACGUCCGUCUGAAUCAGCAGACAAAGCAGCGCUGAGGUCUCACCACCAUUACAGUUCCUGCAGCCCCGGUUUGGGCCCCGGUCAGCCGUGUUGGUGACAUCUGCCAACAGGGUCCAGGGCCUAACACUGAGGGGAAAGCUGGUUCUGAGGGUCACUUUAAGACACGGACACUUCAUGGGUCAGGCCUGAGAUGUGUGGAGUCAGCAGACAGCGGCUAGGAUGGCUCUCAGACCAGCAGGGGGAGCCUCAGGGCGACCGGGGUUCCGACUGCUAAAGACCUUCUGUCAGAGAGUUUGCUGGCAGCAGACGUGCUGUUGACUGGACUCUGGGCUUAAGCGUCCAGCUCGCCAGCAGCGUUGGUUAACGAGAUGGGUGUCUGGGUCAGUUCAGCCUGGAUCCCAGAUUCAUCAGAGUCUCCCCUGGUUCCUAACAUGCUUACAGUCUCUUCACCCGUCCCCAUGGGUGUGCUUCCAGGGAGGGCUCACCUGGCCGUCCCCAACAGGCACACUUCAUCUUCCCGGUGGGAAU
ensembl:lncRNA